AGUGAACGCUGGCGGUAGGCCUAACACAUGCAAGUCGAACGGCAGCACAGUAAGAGCUUGCUCUUACGGGUGGCGAGUGGCGGACGGGUGAGGAAUACAUCGGAAUCUACUUUUUCGUGGGGGAUAACGUAGGGAAACUUACGCUAAUACCGCAUACGACCUACGGGUGAAAGCAGGGGAUCUUCGGACCUUGCGCGAUUGAAUGAGCCGAUGUCGGAUUAGCUAGUUGGCGGGGUAAAGGCCCACCAAGGCGACGAUCCGUAGCUGGUCUGAGAGGAUGAUCGGCCACACUGGAACUGAGACACGGUCCAGACGCCUACGGGAGGCAGAAGUGGGGAAUAGUGGACAAUGGGCGCAAGCCUGAUCCAGCCAUACCGGGGGGGUGAAGAAGGCCUUCGGGUUGUAAAGCCCUUUUGUUGGGAAAGAAAAGCAGCAGGUUAAUACCCCGCUGUUCUGACGGUGCCCAAAGAAUAAGCACCGGCUAACUUCGUG
rnacentral:rRNA from 1 species